CCAAAGGACAAACAAUAGCUUGUGGACAAGUUAUGAGAGGUGAAGACCAGCCUGUGUAACAUAGCGAGACCAUGCCUCAAUUUAAAAAGAAAAACAACAACAACAAACAAAGGGAAUCCUUGUGACACACCAUAUGCCAGGAAUUUCCCAAAGUGGGAAAAUUACAAGGAAGAUAGGCUAUCCAUCAGAAAAAUGACAGCUCCAAAGGCCCAUACCCCUUCACAUGGAGGAAACUGUCCAUCCUCAGAGGAUAAACCUACUUUAGGUAAUAUUGAGAUAGCCACUUACCCAAUGACACAGCUUUGAAGAACCUUUCAAAGUACAAAGAUACAAAUUCAUCUGGAGACAAUCCACGUUGUGGAAUGGGAAGGGGGUAUUACAGAAAAUAAAUGCUAUGCCUGGAUUCAGACUUGAGAUUUG
rnacentral:antisense_RNA from 1 species